GGAGUUCGGUCCGUGUCUCAGUACCGAUGUGUGGGAUCUUCCUUUUAGAACCCAUAGGCAUCAUCGUCUUGGUGGGCCGUUGCCCCGCCAACUAACUAAUGCCACGCAUGCCCAUCCAUCACCUAUGAAUAUUUAAUCAUAAAGCGAUGCCGCUCUAUGAUGCCAUCGGAGUUUAAUCGUCCUUUCGGUCGGCUAUCUCCGUGUGAUGGGCAGGUUGCAUACGCGUUACUCACCCGUCCGCCGCUCGCCACCAAAGUAUUGCUACCUCGUGCUGCCGCUCGACUUGCAUGUGUUAGGCCUGCCGCUAGCGUUUAUC
rnacentral:rRNA from 1 species